UAGCAAAUCCAGUUCAAUAUAAGGAGUCCUUGAGUAAACAGCAGUGUGUGAUAGGAGACCUGUGAGAUCCAGCUGGUGGUGGUGAAUACGCUUGACAGAAAGGGGGUCAAACAAACAAGCCGGCACCAUGAGUACCGACGCAGAGAUGGCCGUUUAUGGCAAAGCUG